GGGCCCGCACAAGCGGUGGAGCAUGUGGUUUAAUUCGACGAUACGCGAAAAACCUUACCAGCUCUUGACAUGGGAUUUUGGACCUUGGAGACAAGGUUCUUCGGUUCGGCCGGGUCCCACACAGGUGCUGCAUGGCUGUCGUCAGCUCGUGUCGUGAGAUGUUGGGUUAAGUCCCGCAACGAGCGCAACCCUUGUCCCUAGUUGCUAACAGGUUAUGCUGAGAACUUUAGGGAGACUGCCGGUGACAAACUGGAGGAAGGAAAGGAUGAUGUCAAGUCAUCAUGGCCCUUAUGGGCUGAGCUACACACGUGCUACAAUGGUGGUUACAAAAAGACGCAAUAGGGCGACCUGGAGCAAAUCUAUAAAAGCCACUCAGUUCGGAUUGUUCUCUGCAACUCGAGAGCAUGAAGUUGGAAUCGCUAG
rnacentral:rRNA from 1 species